GUGGACAUAAAAGAUAUUCUAAAUAAGAAACUCGGAGAGGCCAAUGAACUUGUUGGAGGUCACACAGCCAAUAAGUGGCAGAACUGGAUCUUUGGCCAAGUCUGUUGAACUUUUACCAUAUUGAAAGACCAGAGGCCCCAGGUUAGGAAGCCCUAAAUCCAAUGAUGAGUGUCCUUCAAAGAGAAGAAAGGAAAGGAGACACACAGAGGGCGAGGCCACGUGAAGACGGAG